rnacentral:rRNA from 1 species
UACGGGGGGGGCAAGCGUUGUUCGGAUUUACUGGCGUAAAGGGCGCGUAGGCGGCCACCGCAAGUCGACUGUGAAAUCUCCGGGCUUAACUCGGAAAGGUCAGCCGAUACUGCGGGGCUAGAGUGCAGAAAGGGGCAACUGGAAUUCUCGGUGUAGCGGUGAAAUGCGUAGAUAUCGAGAGGAACACCUGCGGCGAAGGCGGGUUGCUGGGCCGACACUGACGCUGAGGUGCGAAAGCGUGGGGAGCAAACAGG